GUCGAACGAGGUUUUGUUGAUCGAGUUCUUCGGAACAACUUCUUUAAAACCGAGUGGCGGACGGGUGAGUAACACGUGGGUAACCUGCCUUUAAGUGGGGGAUAACAUUUGGAAACAGAUGCUAAUACCGCAUAAACCUUUAGACCACAUGGUCUAAAGUUGAAAGAUGGCGUAAGCUAUCGCUUUUGGAUGGACCCGCGGCGUAUUAGCUAGUUGGUAAGGUAACGGCUUACCAAGGCGAUGAUACGUAGCCGAACUGAGAGGUUGAUCGGCCACAAUGGGACUGAGACACGGCCCAUACUCCUACGGGAGGCAGCAGUAGGGAAUCUUCCACAAUGGACGCAAGUCUGAUGGAGCAACGCCGCGUGAGUGAAGAAGGCUUUCGGGUCGUAAAACUCUGUUGUUGGAGAAGAACACGUUUGAGAGUAACUGUUCAGACGUUGACGGUAUCCAACCAGAAAGCCACGGCUAACUACGUGCCAGCAGCCGCGGUAAUACGUAGGUGGCAAGCGUUAUCCGGAUUUAUUGGGCGUAAAGCGAGCGCAGGCGGUUUUUUAAGUCUGAUGUGAAAGCCUUCGGCUUAACCGAAGAAGUGCAUCGGAAACUGGGAAACUUGAGUGCAGAAGAGGACAGUGGAACUCCAUGUGUAGCGGUGAAAUGCGUAGAUAUAUGGAAGAACACCAGUGGCGAAGGCGGCUGUCUGGUCUGUAACUGACGCUGAGGCUCGAAAGCAUGGGUAGCGAACAGGAUUAGAUACCCUGGUAGUCCAUGCCGUAAACGAUGAAUGCUAGGUGUUGGAGGGUUUCCGCCCUUCAGUGCCGCAGCUAACGCAUUAAGCAUUCCGCCUGGGGGAGUACGACCGCAAGGUUGAAACUCAAAGGAAUUGACGGGGGCCCGCACAAGCGGUGGAGCAUGUGGUUUAAUUCGACGCAACGCGAAGAACCUUACCAGGUCUUGACAUCCUAUGCCAACCUGA
rnacentral:rRNA from 2 species